rnacentral:tRNA from 1 species
GCCUGGCUGGCUCAGUUGGUAGAGCGUGUGACUCUUGAUCUCAAGGUCAUGAGUUUGAGUCCCAUAAUGGGUA